AUUUACACACACGCGCGCGCACACACACUACACACACAACCCCCUCCCCCUCACGUCCAGAGCCUCUGCUUCGCCGUCAGGCUGGAUAGAGUAGGACGGAGGGACGUUGAAAGGCGGUUGGGAGGAAGCCGUUGGUUGUAGGCCUGAAGAGGGGCGGGGCAACAGCUGGGAAAGGGGUAGCGCCCUUCGACCAGUGAGAUGGGACUUCCCCUUCUCUGUGCUAACCUGACCAGACAGUUAAGUUGUCCAUCACCUCCCAUUUGGGUGCACUCUAACAAACCACUGUGCACUUCCUCUUCGGCUGUCAAAAUCCUCUCUAAUCCUCAGUCAAGUCAAGUGGCACCUCAUCUUUGAAGCCUUCCAUCAUCGAAAAGACUUUUGAAAGAAUUUUUUUUCCUCAGAUAUUUCUAGAACUCUUUGUCAGGAGACAUUCUAUCAUAUUAUACUUUAUACUAUAUUUCAUUACAUAUCUUUUUCGUAGUAAUCCUUUUUCAUCCUAGUUUCCCAGGCACCUUACACAUAGAUGCACAAUAAAGUUGGUUGAGUCUGAAA